UCCGUAGGUGGAUAAUUAAGUCAGAGGUGAAAUCCUGCAGCUCAACUGUAGAAUUGCCUUUGAUACUGGUUAUCUUGAGUCAUUAUGAAGUGGUUAGAAUGUGUAGUGUAGCGGUGAAAUGCAUAGAUAUUACACAGAAUACCGAUUGCGAAGGCAGAUCACUAAUAAUGUACUGACACUGAGGGACGAAAGCGCGGGGAGCGAACAGGAUUAGAUACCCUGGUAGUCC
rnacentral:rRNA from 1 species